CCGCCUGUACUUCCUGGAGCCACAACCCUCAGACGUCGACUUCAAAACGCUUCCGUAAAAUAUUCCACUCCGGUGCGUACUGCUCCGUUUUCAGUGUACUAGCUAGUAUACGACGUUUUUGGAAAUAUUGUUCAACAUUUAUCUAAAUAGAAUGAAGGCCAAGGGAUUUGCAGUUACCCAUCACCUGUAAAGGAUACUUCCUCUGACAUUCUUAGAGCUGUCAUUUUAUUGUGAGGAACUGCAGUUCGAUCGGAAUAGUUGUUCUGUUUUUGUCCUCUGUUUUGUGAGUGACCCUCUCACUCAGUCAACUCGUCUCAGUGCACAAGUCUCCCCUUCUCCAGACACCGCGUAUGAAUCAGAAUCCGUAGCUAGUUGUGACACGUGAGCCUCUGGAUGAAAAGCAGAGUAUCCCUAAAGCAGCGUGGUCGUAUCAGCCCCCCAUGUUGGACUAAACUCUACACAAGUGAAAACCCCAAAUCCCUAAAGAUCCUCUAUUUGCCAAACUAGAGGGACAUGAAGUCUGACUCCUUCCUCAACAUGUGGACCUGCCCUGAGGAUGUUGGACACCACUGUUACACCUUCAGCCUUGUUGAUUUCCUGUCAGACUGGUUGUUUUUCAACUCCAUUCCACGGACGGACUGACCUGAAAUUUUACCAGAACAGGAACACAAUGUUCAACAGACUCUACUCAGACUGGUCGUCUUUGAACUCAAGAGGAACACAAUGUUCAUCAGACUCUACUCAGACUAGUCGUCUUUGAACUCAAGAGGAACACAAUGUUCAUCAGACUCUCUCCUCACCAGUGGACUGACUACUGAGACUGGUUGUGAGGUCACAGGAAAUAGAGUGAUCUGUUAGGAGGGAUGCAGCAUUGUAAUCCUGAUUUAGAUGAUGGUUAUAAGGAGAGUUCAGGUCGUAACCAGUCCACUGAGAUGAAUGUAGAUGUCGACACCCUGGCCAAUAUAAAAGGCUUUGGAGAGGGACCACGCUUUCAGGAGAAGGAUAACUGACAUUUACUCCUGAGGUGUCUGACUUGUUGCACCCUCGACAACCACUGUGAUUAUUAUUAUUUGACCCUGC